rnacentral:tRNA from 1 species
GCUGGCGUAGCUCAGUUGGUAGAGCAAUGGUUUUGUAAACCAAAGGUCACGGGUUCGACUCCUGUCGCCAGCACCA